UUCUUGCAGAUUCUUUCUCCUCUGUUUUCGCUGCAGAACAUUGCUAGAGUUUGGGGUGUUUCUCUUUCAGUUGGAGUCAUUUUCUCCCCUUUUUCUGGUUUGUCUUGCAAUGUAGGAGUAUGGUGUAAGUUUAGACAGCACCACUGACCUUGUACUCCCAGCUGAGCAGUGAAGAGCCUCAUUGAAGAUCCAGAACUUGUGACUUUAUUUUGAGUAACUGUUAGCUAAUGUAAACUCAAAAGUACAUUUAUGUCUUUACUUUUAGAAUUUGAUGCUCCACGUAAUCUA